rnacentral:rRNA from 1 species
CCUACGGGGGGCAGCAGUCGAGAAUCAUUCACAAUGGGGGAAACCCUGAUGGUGCGACGCCGCGUGGGGGAAUGAAGGUCUUCGGAUUGUAAACCCCUGUCAUGUGGGAGCAAAUUAAAAAGAUAGUACCACACGAGGAAGAGACGGCUAACUCUGUGCCAGCAGCCGCGGUAAUACAGAGGUCUCAAGCGUUGUUCGGAAUCACUGGGCGUAAAGCGUGCGUAGGCUGUUUCGUAGGUCGUGUGUGAAAGGCGCGGGCUCAACCCGCGGACGGCACAUGAUACUGCGAGACUAGAGUAAUGGAGGGGGAACCGGAAUUCUCGGUGUAGCAGUGAAAUGCGUAGAUAUCGAGAGGAACACUCGUGGCGAAGGCGGGUUCCUGGACAUUAACUGACGCUGAGGCACGAAGGCCAGGGGAGCGAAAGGGAUUAGAUACCCCAGUAGUC